rnacentral:rRNA from 1 species
ACUCCUACGGGAGGCAGCAGGUGGGGAAUAUUGCACAAUGGGGGAAACCCUGAUGCAGCCAUGCCGCGUGUGUGAAGAAGGCCUUCGGGUUGUAAAGCACUUUCAGUAGGGAGGAAGGUAGUGGUUAGUUAAAUCAACCGGCCUAUAUUUGACGUUUACCUUACAGAAGAAGCACCGGCAUAACUCCGUGCCAGCAGCCGCGGUAAUACGGAGGGUGCGAGCGUUAAUCGGAAUUACUGGGCGUAAAGCGCAUGCAGGCGGCCUUGUUAAGUCAGAUGUGAAAG